UUUGAAUCUGGGCAAGAUCCAUCACCUGACAUUCCCUUCACAUCGUGCUGUGGCUGCUAGAUGGUGCCUGGCUUAAAGUAUACCCACCUUUCACAGGAAAAGGACAGACCGAUUAAUAGCAGAAUCAAGAAAUCACCAUGAUUCUAAAAUACAUGCCUUGAUUACUGGGCUCUACGCUCAGCCACCUGAUCUUAAAAAUCAGAAUUGCUAAGUUAAUGGGUCCUUGUACCUUUAAGCUGCAUAUCGGAUUGAACCUUACAGUUUUUCAUCUUCUUGUAUAAAAGCAGAAAAAGUUUUUUCUUCAAAAGGAUUUAGAAGAUUAAGAGAAGGCUUAAAAUGCACUAUAUAUGAUUGUCUCCUGUUCUUCCAGAGACCACAAAAAUCAGAGUGGAUUGUCAUCUACCUGCAGAUGCAUUGCAGUUACUAUCCUAGUAGUUCUUUACUAACUCCACAUUAAAAGUACAGAAGCCCUUUAGCAUACUUCGCUAUGAAAUAAUCUGCUUUAGUAUAGGCCAUCACUGAAGGCAGUUUGAGCUAACUCUGCUGAGAUGUGAUCACUACCCGAUUUACCUCAGUGCCGUUUGUACCUGUGUGGCGAUACACUUCAAAGCACACUGCAAACCGGGAGCCUUCACUAUCCAAAAAUUUAGUUGGCAAUGCUUUUUCACCAUUAAUCUGUAUACUCCUCCUCACUCAUUACUCAAUGCAACCUGUACUUUUUUGAAGUGUUACACUGAGCACAACGAACUGUGAAAGUUUAGAUACUGCUAUGAAGAAAACAAAACCCUGUACUUCCUAUUGGAAAUCCACACAGAUCUCCACAGUUAACCUAAAAAAACACCAACUACUUCCAAGAAGCAAUUGUUGGGUCUGAGACUUACUGAUCAGUUCAUGCCAUACAGAUAUUAAGACUGCUUUCUUGGACAGAAACACGACCACCUGAAUGGCUCAGAACAUCAACAAACCAAACUGUGUAUUUCAGACCCUUACACCAUUUAAAAAAAAUACACUGCCAUUUAUUACACCAUUCCCAUUGUAAGAUCCUGUCUAUGCAAAACCAAGUUGCAAACACCACAUACGUGCAAGGACGUUACUUUAAAUCCAAUGGAUUUAAGUACUUCCAGAUCCUUGUAAUUUUAACUGAAAAAUCAAUCUCACAAGUUAAUCCCAUAAUGGGAUCUUUUUAAAUUUGCUGAGAGGCUGUUAGCAUUAUGAAAACGUAGUGGAACAGGCAGCAGAGAUUACUCCACUACAUUAAUCCAGCUUCCACUGUACUCACUGUUACAAAUUAAAAGCCACCUGAAGCUCGUGGUACCUUCAGAAUUUCCACUGACAGAAGUUACCGUGUUUCCCCCUGCCUUUAUACACAAGUCUAGGCUUCCAUCAGCAAGAAAGCUCCAGCACAUUUCUUCAUUUGCAAGUUCUGACAGAUUUUAAACGAUCUACAUGCUGUGGUUUUCUUCAAAGUAGCUUUUAAGCAUCCCAUUCAUUCAAAAGUUAGUGUCAACUAACAUACUUCUGUAGAAGUGUAAGUAAUAUAAAUAAAGGACAGAUUCACUACACUAGAUUAGGUCGAAGUUACAUAUUGGUCACUUCUUGGUGAAAAUACUACUCACAUACAGACCAGUGAUUGUCACUGGAGGUUUGUAUUCUGCUAAAAACACCAACAUAAACACACAUACAAAACUCACAAAUUCUGUUAAAAACUGUGGAUUGGAAACAGGUGAACUUGUUAGAACAACUGUUGGCACUGGAAGAAAAAAAGGCGUCACUGCACUAUCCAAAAGAAGCCUUUGACCACAACCUGAAACAAGAACAGCCCUUUAAUAGCCACUUCAGCUUUUUCAGAUGCAGGGACUACGUAUUUUUUAUGUGUCAUCUUAAAUGCUUAAUAUUAAAGAUUAAAAUCACCUUCCAACUGUGAUAAUUUGCAUUAUUAAAAGAUUAAUUAUGAUUUAUUUUAGGCUAGCUCUCGCUAGUGUUUCGUAAUACAGAGCUUGGUUCUUAAGUAUGCUGAAAUUGCACCUUAAGAAAAGCCCUAAUUUACUAAUGGGAUUAUUUAUAAAAUUGCCUUUGUUGAAUUCUCACAGAAGCAGCUUUUUAGUCCUGAAUUAGCUGUGCUUAGUAAUACAGUUUUUUCAACAACCCCUACUAGUGACAACAUCAGGUGCAUUCUUUAUCCCACUAAAGAGGG